UACGUAGGGAGCAAGCGUUGUCCGGAAUCAUUGGGCGUAAAGCGCGUGUAGGCGGCUCGAUAAGUCCGGUGUGAAACCUUGGGGCUCAACCCCAAGCCUGCACUGGAUACUGCCGAGCUAGAGUCCGGGAGGGGAGAGCGGAAUUCCUAGUGUAGCGGUGAAAUGCGCAGAUAUUAGGAAGAACACCGGUGGCGAAGGCGGCUCUCUGGAACGGUACUGACGCUGAGACGCGAAAGCGUGGGGAGCGAACAGG
rnacentral:rRNA from 1 species